rnacentral:rRNA from 1 species
AUUGAACGCUGGCGGCAGGCCUAACACAUGCAAGUCGCGCGAGCGGCGGACGGGUGGGUGAUGUACGGGAAACUGCCCGACGGAGGGCGAUAACUACUGGAGACGGUAGCUAAUACCGCACACCAUCAGGUGUGCCCAGAUGGGGUUAGCUGGUAGGUGGGGUAACGGCUCACCUAGGCGACGAUCCCUAGCUGGGGUGAGAGGAUGACCAGCCACCCUGGACCGGAGACACGGUCCAGACCCCUACGGUAGGCAGCAGUGGGGAAUAGUGCACAAGGGGCGCAAGCCUGAUGCGGCCAUGCCGCGUGUGUGAAGAGGGCCUGCGGGUUGGAAAGCACUACCAGCGGGGAGGCGUUACCCGAUGAAGAAGCACCGGCUAACUCCGUGCCAGCAGCCGCGGUAAUUC